UACGUAGGGUGCGAGCGUUGUCCGGAAUUAUUGGGCGUAAAGGGUGUGUAGGCGGUUGCUUAAGUUUGGUGUGAAAUCUCCCGGCUCAACUGGGAGGGUGCGCCGAAUACUGAGUGACUCGAGUGCGGGAGAGGAGAGUGGAAUUCCUGGUGUAGCGGUGAAAUGCGCAGAUAUCAGGAAGAACACCUAUGGCGAAGGCAGCUCUCUGGGACGGUACUGACGCUGAGACGCGAAAGCGUGGGGAGCGAACAGG
rnacentral:rRNA from 1 species